CCUACGGGGGGCUGCAGUGGGGAAUAUUGGACAAUGGGGGCAACCCUGAUCCAGCCAUGCCGCGUGUGUGAAGAAGGCCCUCGGGUUGUAAAGCACUUUCAGUGAGGAAGAACGCCUGGUGGUUAAUACCCAUCAGGAAAGACAUCACUCACAGAAGAAGCACCGGCUAACUCCGUGCCAGCAGCCGCGGUAAUACGGAGGGUGCGAGCGUUAAUCGGAAUUACUGGGCGUAAAGCGCGCGUAGGUGGCUUGAUAAGCCGGUUGUGAAAGCCCCGGGCUCAACCUGGGAACGGCAUCCGGAACUGUCAAGCUAGAGUGCAGGAGAGGAAGGUAGAAUUCCCGGUGUAGCGGUGAAAUGCGUAGAGAUCGGGAGGAAUACCAGUGGCGAAGGCGGUCUUCUGGACUGACACUGACACUGAGGUGCGAAAGCGUGGGUAGCAAACAGGAUUAGAUACCCUGGUAGUC
rnacentral:rRNA from 1 species